rnacentral:rRNA from 1 species
GAUGAACGCUAGCGGGAGGCCUAACACAUGCAAGUCGAACGGGAUUGAGAGCUUGCUCUCAUGAGAGUGGCGCACGGGUGAGUAACGCGUAUGCAACCUACCUUUAACUGAGGGAUAGCCCAUAGAAAUGUGGAUUAAUACCUCAUAGUUCUGAACUUCCGCAUGGGAGAUCAGAUAAAGCUCCGGCGGUUAAAGAUGGGCAUGCGUGACAUUAGCUAGUUGGUAAGGUAACGGCUUACCAAGGCUACGAUGUCUAGGGGUUCUGAGAGGAUGAUCCCCCACACUGGUACUGAGACACGGACCAGACUCCUACGGGAGGCAGCAGUGAGGAAUAUUGGUCAAUGGGCGCAAGCCUGAACCAGCCAUCCCGCGUGCAGGAUGAAGGCCCUAUGGGUCGUAAACUGCUUUUAUACGCCAAGAAAAACACAGACGAGUCUGUGCCUGACGGUAGUGUAUGAAUAAGCAUCGGCUAACUCCGUGCCAGCAGCCGCGGUAAUACGGAGGAUGCAAGCGUUAUCCGGAUUCAUUGGGUUUAAAGGGUGCGUAGGCGGCUUUUUAAGUCAGUGGUGAAAUCUUGCCGCUUAACGGUAAAAUUGCCAUUGAUACUGAGGAGCUUGAGUACAGUUGAGGUAGGCGGAAUGUGUAGUGUAGCGGUGAAAUGCUUAGAUAUUACACAGAACACCAAUUGCGAAGGCAGCUUACUAAACUGGUAACUGACGCUGAUGCACGAAAGCGUGGGGAGCGAACAGGAUUAGAUACCCUGGUAGUCCACGCCGUAAACGAUGCUCACUCGCUGUUUGCGAUACACAGCAAGCGGCCAAGCGAAAGCAUUAAGUGAGCCACCUGGGGAGUACGAUCGCAAGGUG